UAUCACAAGGACUUUUCCAAGGCUUACAAUGAGGCUGGGCUAACAAGAAAAAUUGGUUUUUCUGGAUCACAAAAUCCUUGAGUCAAGAGAGCUAUUUUAACAUUCAAAGUUCAAGUACAAACUCUCUUUUUCACCAAUCUCACUCAUUCCCAACUUCUUCCCUUUUCUUUUUUUUUUUUUACAUUGAGCUCAUCUUUCAUGGUUUUUCUUUUCUCAUGCAUUUUUCUUUUUCACCUUUAGAGCUCAAUGCUUCUCUUUUGCCUUUUAACUUUCCCCAAACAACCCCAAACUUGAACCUUUUUAAU
rnacentral:lncRNA from 1 species